rnacentral:tRNA from 1 species
CUGGGUGUGGCGCAGCUGGGAGCGCGCUACCUUGGGGUGGUAGAGGCCGCAAGUUCAAGUCUUGUCACUCAGACCA